rnacentral:rRNA from 1 species
UACGUAGGGGGCAAGCGUUGUCCGGAAUCAUUGGGCGUAAAGCGCGUGUAGGCGGCCCGGUAAGUCCGCUGUGAAAGUCCAGGGCUCAACCCUGGGAUGCCGGUGGAUACUGUCGAGCUAGAGUACGGAAGAGGCGAGUGGAAUUCCCGGUGUAGCGGUGAAAUGCGCAGAUAUCGGGAGGAACACCAAUUGCGAAGGCAGCUUGCUGGGACGGUACUGACGCUGAGGCGCGAAAGCGUGGGGAGCGAACAGG